rnacentral:rRNA from 1 species
UCAGAUUGAACGCUGGCGGCAGGCCUAACACAUGCAAGUCGAACGGUAACAGGAAACAGCUUGCUGUUUCGCUGACGAGUGGCGGACGGGUGAGUAAUGUCUGGGAAACUGCCUGAUGGAGGGGGAUAACUACUGGAAACGGUAGCUAAUACCGCAUAACGUCGCAAGACCAAAGAGGGGGACCUUCGGGCCUCUUGCCAUCGGAUGUGCCCAGAUGGGAUUAGCUAGUAGGUGGGUAACGGCUCACCUAGGCGACGAUCCCUAGCUGGUCUGAGAGGAUGACCAGCCACACUGGAACUGAGACACGGUCC